rnacentral:tRNA from 1 species
GAGGGUAUAGCUCAAGUGGUAGAGCACAUGCUUAGCAUGCACGAGGUCCUGGGUUGAAUCCCCUGUAAUCCCU